AUACAGAGGGUGCGAGCGUUAAUCGGAAUUACUGGGCGUAAAGCGCGCGUAGGUGGUUAUGUAAGUUGGAUGUGAAAGCCCCGGGCUUAACCUGGGAAUUGCAUUCAAAACUGCAUGGCUAGAGUCUGAUAGAGGGAAGUGGAAUUUCCGGUGUAGCGGUGAAAUGCGUAGAUAUCGGAAGGAACACCAGUGGCGAAGGCGGCUUCCUGGAUCAAGACUGACGCUGAGGUGCGAAAGCGUGGGGAGCAAACAGGAUUAGAUACCCCAGUAGUCC
rnacentral:rRNA from 1 species